GACGAACGCUGGCGGCGUGCCUAAUACAUGCAAGUCGAACGCUUCUUUCCUCCCGAGUGCUUGCACUCAAUUGGAAAGAGGAGUGGCGGACGGGUGAGUAACACGUGGGUAACCUACCCAUCAGAGGGGGAUAACACUUGGAAACAGGUGCUAAUACCGCAUAACAGUUUAUGCCGCAUGGCAUAAGAGUGAAAGGCGCUUUCGGGUGUCGCUGAUGGAUGGACCCGCGGUGCAUUAGCUAGUUGGUGAGGUAACGGCUCACCAAGGCCACGAUGCAUAGCCGACCUGAGAGGGUGAUCGGCCACACUGGGACUGAGACACGGCCCAGACUCCUACGGGAGGCAGCAGUAGGGAAUCUUCGGCAAUGGACGGAAGUCUGACCGAGCAACGCCGCGUGAGUGAAGAAGGUUUUCGGAUCGUAAAACUCUGUUGUUAGAGAAGAACAAGGACGUUAGUAACUGAACGUCCCCUGACGGUAUCUAACCAGAAAGCCACGGCUAACUACGUGCCAGCCGCCGCCGUAA
rnacentral:rRNA from 1 species